GAUCCUGGCUCAAGGAUGAACGCUAGCUACAGGCUUAACACAUGCAAGUCGAGGGGCAGCAUCAUCAAAGCUUGCUUUGAUGGAUGGCGACCGGCGCACGGGUGAGUAACACGUAUCCAACCUGCCGACAACACUGGGAUAGCCUUUCGAAAGAAAGAUUAAUACCGGAUGGCAUAGUUUUCCCGCAUGGGAUAAUUAUUAAAGAAUUUCGGUAUGAGAUGGGGAUGCGUUCCAUUAGUUUGUUGGCGGGGUAACGGCCCACCAAGACUACGAUGGAUAGGGGUUCUGAGAGGAAGGUCCCCCACAUUGGAACUGAGACACGGUCCAAACUCCUACGGGAGGCAGCAGUGAGGAAUAUUGGUCAAUGGACGCGAGUCUGAACCAGCCAAGUAGCGUGAAGGAUGACUGCCCUAUGGGUUGUAAACUUCUUUUAUAUGGGAAUAAAGUGGUCCACGUGUGGAUUUUUGUAUGUACCAUAUGAAUAAGGAUCGGCUAACUCCGUG
rnacentral:rRNA from 1 species